UUGCUUCUCUGAUGUUAGCGGCGGACGGGUGAGUAACACGUGGAUAACCUACCUAUAAGACUGGGAUAACUUCGGGAAACCGGAGCUAAUACCGGAUAAUAUUUUGAACCGCAUGGUUCAAAAGUGAAAGACGGUCUUGCUGGCACUUAUAGAUGGAUCCCCGCUGCAUUAGCUAGUUGGUAAGGUAACGGCUUACCAAGGCAACGAUGCAUAGCCCACCUGAGAGGGUGAUCGGCCACACUGGAACUGAGACACGGUCCAAACUCCUACGGGAGGCAGCAGUAGGGAAUCUUCCGCAAUGGGCGAAAGCCUGACGGAGCAACGCCGCGUGAGUGAUGAAGGUCUUCGGAUCGUAAAACUCUGUUAUUAGGGAAGAACAUAUGUGUAAGUAACUGUGCACAUCUUGACGGUACCUAAUCAGAAAGCCACGGCUAACUACCUGCCAGCAGCCGCGGUAAUACGUAGGUGGCAAGCGUUAUCCGGAAUUAUUGGGCGUAAAGCGCGCGUAGGCGGGUUUUUAAGUCUGAUGUGAAAGCCCACGGCUCAACCGUGGAGGGUCAUUGGAAACUGGAAAACUUGAGUGCAGAAGAGGAAAGUGGAAUUCCAUGUGUAGCGGUGAAAUGCGCAGAGAUAUGGAGGAACACCAGUGGCGAAAGCGACUUUCUGGUCUGUA
rnacentral:rRNA from 1 species